CCUACGGGAGGCUGCAGUAGGGAAUCUUCCACAAUGGACGAAAGUCUGAUGGAGCAACGCCGCGUGAGUGAAGAAGGGCUUCGGCUCGUAAAGCUCUGUUGGUAGUGAAGAAAGAGAGAGGUAGUAACUGGCCUUGAUUUGACGGUAAUUACUUAGAAAGUCACGGCUAACUACGUGACAGCAGCCGCGGUAAUACGUAGGUGGCAAGCGUUGUCCGGAUUUAUUGGGCGUAAAGCGAGUGCAGGCGGUUCAAUAAGUCUGAUGUGAAAGCCUUCGGCUCAACCGGGGAAUUGCAUCAGAAACUGUUGACGUUGAGUGCAGAAGAGGAGAGUGGAACGCCAUGUGUAGCGGUGGAAUGCGUAGAUAUAUGGAAGAACACCAGUGGCGAAGGCGGCUCUCUGGUCUGCAACUGACGCUGAGGCUCGAAAGCAUGGGUAGCGAACAGGAUUAGAUACCCUUGUAGUC
rnacentral:rRNA from 1 species